ensembl:snRNA U4 U4 spliceosomal RNA
AGCUUUGCACAGUGGCAGUAUCGUAGCCAAUGAGGUUUAUCCGAGGCACAAUUAUUGCUAAUUGUAGCUUAUAAAACCUUUCAGAAGUUUUCUUUGUACACACAA